rfam:Kitasatospora cheerisanensis KCTC 2395 genomic scaffold scaffold00001, whole genome shotgun sequence.
CUUCAACGAGCCCAGCCACAGGGGCCGUUCGGCGGGCCGGUCCUGGCCGUAGGUGGCCAGCAGGGCCUGCGCCUC